rnacentral:rRNA from 1 species
UACAGAGGUCUCAAGCGUUGUUCGGAUUCAUUGGGCGUAAAGGGUGCGUAGGUGGCGCGGUAAGUCGGGUGUGAAAUUUCGGGAGCUUAACUCCGAAACUGCAUUCGAUACUGCCGUGCUUGAGGACUGGAGAGGAGACUGGAAUUUACGGUGUAGCAGUGAAAUGCGUAGAGAUCGUAAGGAAGACCAGUGGCGAAGGCGGGUCGUCUGGACGAGUUCCUGACAGCUGAGG